rnacentral:rRNA from 1 species
CCUACGGGAGACAGCAGUAGGGAAUCUUCCACAAUGGGCGAAAGCCUGAUGGAGCAACGCCGCGUGGGUGAAGAAGGUCUUCGGAUCGUAAAACCCUGUUGUUAGAGAAGAAAGUGCGUGAGAGUAACUGUUCACGUUUCGACGGUAUCUAACCAGAAAGCCACGGCUAACUACGUGCCAGCAGCCGCGGUAAUACGUAGGUGGCAAGCGUUAUCCGGAUUUAUUGGGCGUAAAGGGAACGCAGGCGGUCUUUUAAGUCUGAUGUGAAAGCCUUCGGCUUAACCGGAGUAGUGCAUUGGAAACUGGGAGACGUGAGUGCAGAAGAGGAGAGUGGAACUCCAUGUGUAGCGGUGAAAUGCGUAGAUAUAUGGAAGAACACCAGUGGCGAAGGCGGCUCUCUGGUCUGUAACUGACGCUGAGGUUCGAAAGCGUGGGUAGCAAACAGGAUUAGAUACCCUUGUAGUC